rnacentral:tRNA from 1 species
GCACCAUUUUGUCUUCUUUUUGACUCCAACAUUUUCAUAUUUUCUUUUGGGGAACUCCUAGAGUCCUUCUUUGCCGGAAAAGUAAGAAUUCCAUAUGAUACUUACCUUCAUUUUCUGUGAAGCCUGUAUGUUUUACCUUCAGAGAACCAACACACUGGAUGCAAGAAAUUUGCCAUGUUUGUGUGAAUCUCUUUGAGAAAAGUUAAAAUAUAAAAUAAUUAACUAAAAUGGGUUCGUAGGAGAAAAUAUAAGGCAGCUGAUUGAUAACUAACCAACAGCAUAAGUCAAAAAAAAAAAAAAUCUUAGAUUCAUAUAGGAGAACAGGAGGAUAAGAAAGGCUUCAGUACAUUCGAUCUAGAAGCACAUAAUCUGAGUAUGUGUAACUUGACUUUAAGCAUCAUGCAAAAUAGGAAAUGGCCCUCCUAUAAUUAUUUAUUUUAUUAGUCAAACGAAGUUACAGGUUAACAAAGGCUUAAAAAAUUAAUGCUUGUAUACAUAUCUGAAUUAUCUUCAAAAGCUGGAAAAUGCAAUUUUAGAAGUGGCUUAAGUUGUAUUUAGAGUACUUUAGAGUCAAGGACCUUUUUAUUAGUUGAUUGUGAAUAAUAUCUGUUUAAAAAAGCAUUGUGUAGUCUAAAUUUUAGAUUCAGUAAUAUUAAAAACGAAUUGAAUUUCUAUAAUGGAAAAAGUAGCAAAUCACGAAUGAAAGAGUAACAAAACGCGACUCAGUUACCAUUGAGGAAAAGUGGUAAUUCCCUGACCGGGAAUCGAACCCGGGCCGCGGCGGUGAGAGCGCCGAAUCCUAACCACUAGACCACCAGGGAACCUGUUUGGACUGCUCCUCAGAGUGCAUUUGCUUCUGUAGAAAUCGUCACCUAGGCGUGACCAGUGAAAAGCAAGACUGCCUGUAAGCCCUGCCCACCUCGUUCUUAUUUUAGGUUUCAGUCUCCUAAACUCCAUCAAAUUCGCGCUGCGCACUCGGCGAGCUCGGCAGCGGCUCCCAAGAAAAAAAAGCCAGAUCUUCCAAACAGAAUCUUCUUCCGACUGCCAUGCUGGAAAAGGCAUCCUUAGAUUUCGUCCCAACUGUGUUAAAUACUGCCGCCGGCGGAGAGCGUUUCCGGUUGUAGAGCUGGGUGCGACACUGCACACGUCCCUGGCACAGAGCACUGUAAAUGCGAGUGAGGAAGGGCCUCUUGGCCUCGUAGGACGCGGCUGUUUCUAUUUACUUGUGUGAGAGUAAGAUUAAAGAAGCUGAGAUAGCUGUGGGUGAUUUGCUUAGUGAAGAACUGGGGCCUCUGCACCCUGAUCCAAGAAAACCCUGAAAACCCACUGUUUCCAUUAUCUUCCUGUUUUUUCAAACGGUGUUAUUAUCUCGGCAAUUGCUUCCCCUCUCCGCGUCGUGAGCGAGACACGACCAGGAAAUGAUGCAAUUACCAAAGAAGUCAAGAAACCUUCUAGCCCGCCAUCAGUUCAGAAACUCGCAUGAAAUAGGAGCAGACGGCAAGAGAAUGUAACUUUGAAAGUGCCAACCGUUGCAGUUGGAUAAAUGUAACCCAAGAGAUCCCGCUCCGCUGCAAGAUGAAAGGAGGCUUAAGUAAAAUAGACAUAAAUUUGUAAUGAACUUGCUCGCAAUAUCCGGCGCCACUGUGAAUUACAGCCUUUGUCCAGCACCAUAGAAUAUAGGUGAGGCUGAACUGGAUUAUUUUUUCUGGUUUUCAGCAAUUGGGAAGUGAUAUUUAGCUUAUUGAUUAAAAUUUAUCUGAAAUUAUUUAAUAAUAUGCAAGCAGGAAGAUUAGAAUGACUUAUUAAGACUAAUAAGUAAAGAUGGAACCAUCACCAGAAGAAAUUUCUAAACUUAAUUACUGUAUUUUAGAUGGGACACACACCUCUUUCCUAUAUCAAGGAAUUUUUAGGAACUUGAGUGCAGUAGGUGGAGCUCUUACCUCUUAACUGGGGAUUACCAGCACUUGCUUAGCAUAAGAAUACCUAGUUUUGAAUUAAAAAAAAUAAAGCAGAUAUUACUUUCA